GGGAGUAUAGCUCAGUGGUAGAGUGCCUCAAUACCAUAGAAACUUAAAAUUUAAAAAAAAGUAUACUGUUUAACUCUAAAGCCACUUACAUAUAUAUUUAAAAAUAUAUAUUGUAGUUGUAGAUGGACACAAUACCUUUAUUUUGUUUAUUUAUUUUUUAAUGUGGUGCUGAGGAUUGAACCCAGGUCCUCUCA
rnacentral:tRNA from 1 species